rnacentral:lncRNA from 1 species
UGAAAUCUUUAACCCAUUUUGGAAAAUUGAGCAUAACUCCUAAUUUCUCAGUCUUACUGAAAUAAUGUCCCUCCACACCUUUGAGCAUCCCCCAGUUACCUCCCUAGGUGGAACCCAUUGAGAAUCCCCAUAGCCAUAUUUUGCAGUGAUAACACUUCUCCACAAUGCCUCUCUUUCAAUCCCAUGCCUCCACCACUUCAACAACAAGCAAUCAUUCAUCACUCUAAUUUUCC